rnacentral:misc_RNA from 1 species
GUGAUGAAAUUUAUUGGUGCCAGGCCGGCUAUUGUCCCCUUUGACCCUUCUUCACUGGUAUCAUCCGAGAAUUUCUGCCCAUUCUCCGUUCGUGGAGGUCUAUAUAAUUUCCCAAUUGCAUAUCUUGCCACUACUCCUCCAACCGAAUGUGCAACAAAAGAAAUUUUCUUCAAACCUGGCCUUCUUUUGACCACAUCAAGAACCUCCUCAGCUAAUCGCUCUCCCAUUACAUCCA